AGAUUGAACGCUGGCGGCAUGCCUUACACAUGCAAGUCGAACGGCAGCACGGGGGCAACCCUGGUGGCGAGUGGCGAACGGGUGAGUAAUAUAUCGGAACGUGCCCUGGAGUGGGGGAUAGCUCGGCGAAAGCCGGAUUAAUACCGCAUACGAUCUACGGAUGAAAGUGGGGGAUCGCAAGACCUCAUGCUCCUGGAGCGGCCGAUAUCUGAUUAGCUAGUUGGUAGGUAAAAGCCUACCAAGGCGACGAUCAGUAGCUGGUCUGAGAGGACGACCAGCCACACUGGAACUGAGACACGGUCCAGACUCCGUACGGGAGGCAGCAGUGGGAAUUUUGGACAAGUGGGGGCAACCCUGAUCCAGCAAUGCCGCGUGUGUGAAGAAGGCCGUUCGGUUGUAAGCGUACUUUUGGACGGAACGAAACGGUAGUAGGUUAAUACCGUU
rnacentral:rRNA from 1 species